rnacentral:rRNA from 1 species
AACGAACGCUGGCGGCAGGCUUAACACAUGCAAGUCGAGCGCCCCGCCAGGGGAGCGGCAGACGGGUGAGUAACGCGUGGGAACGUACCUUUUGGUUCGGAACAACUCCGGGAAACUGGAGCUAAUACCGGAUAAGCCCUAACGGGGAAAGAUUUAUCGCCGAAAGAUCGGCCCGCGUCUGAUUAGCUAGUUGGUGAGGUAACGGCUCACCAAGGCGACGAUCAGUAGCUGGUCUGAGAGGAUGAUCAGCCACACUGGGACUGAGACACGGCCCAGACUCCUACGGGAGGCAGCAGUGGGGAAUAUUGGACAAUGGGCGCAAGCCUGAUCCAGCCAUGCCGCGUGAGUGAUGAAGGCCUUAGGGUAGUAAAGCUCUUUUGUCCGGGAAGAUAAUGACUGUACCGGAAGAAUAAGCCCCGGCUAACUUCGUG